rnacentral:rRNA from 1 species
UACGUAGGGGGCUAGCGUUGUCCGGAAUCAUUGGGCGUAAAGCGCGUGUAGGCGGUCCGGUAAGUCCGCUGUGAAAGUCGGGGGCUCAACCCUCGGAUGCCGGUGGAUACUGUCGGGCUUGAGUCCAGUAGAGGAGCGUGGAAUUCCUGGUGUAGCGGUGGAAAUGCGCAGAUAAUCAGGAGGAACACCAGCAGCGAAGGCGGCGCUCUGGGCUGGAACUGACGCUGAGGAGCGAAAGCGUGGUAGCAAACAGG